GAACAGUAGUGAUUAGUGAGGAAGCUCACAUGAAUCAAGGGGCCUUUAGUUUCGCAAUACAGAACCGGAAAGCGAUGACGACGAGGGCAAUCUCGAGGAGAUUCAGAUGAAAAAGAAAGUGAAGAAGAAUCAAGAAAGAGAAGCAGAGUCCUCUUCACUUGAUGCCUCUUAUUUUGUGGCUAAAGUCUCGCCUGCGAACCUACGUCAAGACAAUAUCUCAGAUUCAGAGUCACGGGCAGAGUUAGAGAGAGAGACAGAAGACAGAUCAUCAAGGUUGUUCUCGUCGUCUAAACAAGACUCAUACUGAAUCUCACAGCAACUGGGUCCCAUGAGUGUGAGUGUUUGACAUGGAAAGCCAUGUCUUUCUCUUGUCUGAAGAUGGCAAUGUCACCGACUCGAAGAUCGUGUGCAAGAGCGAACUCUUUCCAACCAUCAGUGAGUUUCUGGCCAUCUUCUAGCUUCACUUCCCAUGUUAUGUCCGACGCGUCUGAUCUCAGCUUCGCGCCUUCGCCCUAUAUACUUCAAGAAGAAAGCUACAGGAAUUUUCUGAAGCAAACAUGCAAAUGCAAAACAAAACCCAUCUCUCAAUUAGCUUCUCACACAGAUAUAGAAAAAGGGAGAGAGAAAGAGAGAGAGACAAAGAGAGAAUACCAAGUAGCUAUGGAAGCCAGGAAGAAGAUGCUUGUAAAAAUGUUUAUUCACCAUCCUCAGAAGCUUCAGAAGCUCUAA